rnacentral:rRNA from 1 species
UAACUGAAGAGUUUGAUCAUGGCUCAGAUUGAACGCUGGCGGCAGGCUUAACACAUGCAAGUCGAGCGGGGGAAGGUAGCUUGCUACCGGACCUAGCGGCGGACGGGUGAGUAAUGCUUAGGAAUCUGCCUAUUAGUGGGGGACAACAUCUCGAAAGGGAUGCUAAUACCGCAUACGUCCUACGGGAGAAAGCAGGGGAUCUUCGGACCUUGCGCUAAUAGAUGAGCCUAAGUCGGAUUAGCUAGUUGGUGGGGUAAAGGCCUACCAAGGCGACGAUCUGUAGCGGGUCUGAGAGGAUGAUCCGCCACACUGGGACUGAGACACGGCCCAGACUCCUACGGGAGGCAGCAGUGGGGAAUAUUGGACAAUGGGGGGAACCCUGAUCCAGCCAUGCCGCGUGUGUGAAGAAGGCCUUAUGGUUGUAAAGCACUUUAAGCGAGGAGGAGGCUACUUUAGUUAAUACCUAGAGAUAGUGGACGUUACUCGCAGAAUAAGCACCGGCUAACUCUGUGCCAGCAGCCGCGGUAAUACAGAGGGUGCGAGCGUUAAUCGGAUUUACUGGGCGUAAAGCGUGCGUAGGCGGCUUA